UACGUAGGUGGCAAGCGUUACUCGGAAUCACUAGGCGUAAAGCGCAGGUAGGAGGUGUGGAAAGUCUGUUGUGAAAGCUCCCGGCUUAACUGGGAGAGGUCAACGGAAACUACCAUGCUAGAGUGCGGUAGAGGUAGCUGGAAUUCCCGGUGUAGCGGUGAAAUGCGUAGAUAUCGGGAGGAAUACCUAUGGCGAAAGCAGGCUACUGGACCGUCACUGACUCUGAUCUGCGAAAGCUAGGGGAGCAAACAGG
rnacentral:rRNA from 1 species